rnacentral:rRNA from 1 species
AGCGAACGCUGGCGGCAGGCUUAACACAUGCAAGUCGAGCGGGCACCCUUGUGGUGUCAGCGGCAGACGGGUGAGUGACGCGUGGGAACGUGCCCUUCGGUUCGGAAUAACUCAGGGAAACUUGAGCUAAUACCGGAUACGCGCGAGAGCAGAAAGGUUCAUCUGCCGAAGGAUCGGCCCGCGUCUGAUUAGCUAGUUGGUGAGGUUACGGCUCACCAAGGCGACGAUCAGUAGCUGGUCUGAGAGGAUGAUCAGCCACACUGGGACUGAGACACGGCCCAGACUCCUACGGGAGGCAGCAGUGGGGAAUAUUGGACAAUGGGGGCAACCCUGAUCCAGCCAUGCCGCGUGAGUGAUGACGGCCUUAGGGUUGUAAAGCUCUUUUCUCCGGGACGAUAAUGACGGUACCGGAGGAAUAAGCCCCGGCUAACUUCGUG